rnacentral:rRNA from 1 species
UACGGAGGGUGCAAGCGUUGUUCGGAAUUACUGGGCGGAAAGCGCGUGUAGGCGGCUAAUUAUGUCAGGUGUGAAAGCCCUCGGCCUAACCGAGGAAGUGCGCCUGAAACUGAUUAGCUUGAGUACGAGAGAGGAGGACGGAAUUCCCAGUGUAGAGGUGAAAUGCGUAGAUAUCUGGAGGAACACCGGUGGCGAAGGCGGCAUCCUGGACCGGCAUUGACGCUGAGGCGCGAAAGCCAGGGGAGCAAACGGG